ACUCCUGCGGGAGGCAGCAGUGGGGAAUAUUGGACAAUGGGCGCAAGCCUGAUCCAGCCAUGCCGCGUGAGUGAUGAAGGCCCUAGGGUUGUAAAGCUCUUUCACCGGUGAAGAUAAUGACGGUAACCGGAGAAGAAGCCCCGGCUAACUUCGUGCCAGCAGCCGCGGUAAUACGAAGGGGGCUAGCGUUGUUCGGAUUUACUGGGCGUAAAGCGCACGUAGGCGGACUAUUAAGUCAGGGGUGAAAUCCCGGGGCUCAACCCCGGAACUGCCUUUGAUACUGGUAGUCUUGAGUUCGAGAGAGGUGAGUUGAAUUCCGAGUGUAGAGGUGAAAUUCGUAGAUAUUCGGAGGAACACCAGUGGCGAAGGCGGCUCACUGGCUCGAUACUGACGCUGAGGUGCGAAAGCGUGGGGAGCAAACAGGAUUAGAAACCCUUGUAGUCCC
rnacentral:rRNA from 1 species